rnacentral:tRNA from 1 species
GCCAGCGUAGCUCAGUCGGUAGAGCGGCUGAUUCGUAAUCAGCAGGUCGACGGUUCGAUCCCGCCCGCUGGCU